UGGCGACGAUAUCACGCUGAAACACGGGUUUCUGUACGAUCACCGAAGUUAAGCAACGUCGAACCUAGUCAGUGACUAGAUGGGUGAACGCUUAGGAAUACCAGCUGCUGUAAG